rnacentral:rRNA from 1 species
AGAACGAACGCUGGCGGCAUGCCUAAUACAUGCAAGUCGAACGAACUCUUCGGAGUUAGUGGCGCACGGGUGCGUAACGCGUGGGAAUCUGCCCUUGGGUUCGGAAUAACAGUUGGAAACGACUGCUAAUACCGGAUGAUGACGAAAGUCCAAAGAUUUAUCGCCCAGGGAUGAGCCCGCGUAGGAUUAGCUAGUUGGUGAGGUAAAGGCUCACCAAGGCGACGAUCCUUAGCUGGUCUGAGAGGAUGAUCAGCCACACUGGGACUGAGACACGGCCCAGACUCCGUACGGGAGG